CCUGAAUUCGAAAGGGACUGGAUUCAUCUCAUACCGGCAGAACGGGGCGCUCCUGCCAGAUGGCGCCGGUCGCCCGCGGCGAUUCACUUCGCUUGCGGUGUCGUUUCCGGCGAUCACUCGGCUUGCGGCGGACUUACCUGGCUCUGGAUAGGUGCACUUCCUCCCUAGUAGAAACGUCGCGACCCGUUGGGUGCCGGUCUAAGGCCCGGGAUGGCAGACCGCGUGUCCUGUGGGGGUUCCCACAGGCGUGCGGACUCCUGGUGACCCGGCCGGCUGCUCGACGGUAUGACCAGAGGAGUCGAUCCGCUGAAUUGGGAAACACUAUGGUUGUGAAGCGUCCGGCCCUUCAGCCGAUGCGUGCGGGGAUUCAGGUGUAAACCGGGGGUGCCCCGUGCGGAGCACGGCCCCGGCCCCGCUGCGUCUUCGGUGUCGGUGUCCUCGGACCGGAUCAGCACUCCCGUCUGCGACGCCCACCUUCGGAUGGUCUCCCG
rnacentral:rRNA from 1 species